UAUUUUUUUCUAUUGUUUGAAGUGUUAGUUUACCAAUUAAAGUAUUUUUGUUGGUUAUAUUUGCCAAUUCCCCAAGUAUUUAUACCAUUUUCGAAGUUUCGACAUAAGUUAAAAAGGAUAUAAGAACCGGAAAAAUAACGAAAAUCUACAGAAAGAACAGACAAUGACAAAACAACAAAGGAGGAAAACAUAUGUAUAGAGCGAAAACAAAAGAAGAAACACCGAUUCCAAAAUGCCAAACUCGGAAAUUUGCGUGAUUUCCUCCACAACUCCAAGAAGCUGGAGUCUCAUCCUAAGUUGUAUACCUAAUUUGUUUACAGAAGUUAUCUAUGGUGCU
rnacentral:sRNA from 1 species